UAUUUGCUAAACUAGUUUAAUAACGCUUGUAAGCUGUUGAGGAAAACACGCAACCAAGAAUAUAAGUAAAGUUAUAAAAUUAACUGACAUUACCUACUAAAGGGACCCACUGAUUACCAGUUCGCCGGACGAUAUCGAUAUUGUACAGAACAAUGCGUUGGCUGUUCGUACUGGUAGCGGCGAUGACGCUAGCCGUCGCUCUUACGCACCCCGCCCCCGAAGCAUACCCAAGAAAUAUGCAAAAAAGACCAGCUCAGGAAAACAGUAGCCCCACAGAUCUCAUCCCAAAUGGUUCUUCAGAAAGACUAAGAAGACAAUUAGGCGUAGUGGCCUGCAUCACCUGCCCUGGGUCCACGAGGUGCCUGGACGGUUAUAGGUACGUGGCUGGUGUAGGCUGCGUUCGUGUGAAGAAACAUAGAAAGUGAUAUUAAGAACUUAAAUGCAGUAAAAGCUAAGAGUGCAAAGUAUUGAAAAUACGUAUACCUUUUUGGAACAGUGUUGCCCUCGCUGUUAGUGCACGAAUUAGAAUUGUAGUUAUGGCAAUAAAGUGUCGAUGUAGAUAAUUUUAA